rnacentral:snoRNA from 1 species
CCAGCGUGGAUAGCCCGGGAGGGUCAUUCUCCCUGGGCUCUGUCCAGGUGGUGCAGGGGAGCACAGGGCUCAGCCCAGGGACGUACAGUCCCCCUCCACAACGCUGGAGAUGAAGCCGGGCUCUCGAGCCUGCACCUGCAUAUUCCUACAGGUUCUCUGAGUCUUAUGGACAAUGACCGAGGAGACAAACCAUGCAGGAAAGCUAA